rnacentral:tRNA from 1 species
GGCAAGGUGGCUCAGAGGGUAAAGCGUCUGCCUGAAAUGCAGGAGACCCAGGUUCAAUCCCUGGGUCG